GACGAACGCUGGCGGCGCGCUUAACACAUGCAAGUCGAGCGAGAACCAGCCCUUCGGGGCUGGGGACAGCGGCGAACGGGUGAGUAACACGUGGGUAAUCUGCCCUCGGCACCGGGAUAGCCCGGGGAAACCCGGAUUAAUACCGGAUGGCCUUUCGAGCCCUCGGGCUUGAAAGGAAAGGUAGCUUUGGCCUCUGGCCGAGGAUGAGCCCGCGGCCGAUUAGCUUGUUGGUGAGGUAAUGGCNCACCAAGGCGACGAUCGGUAGCUGGUCUGAGAGGACGAUCAGCCACACUGGGACUGAGACACGGCCCAGACUCCUACGGGAGGCAGCAGUGGGGAAUCUUGCGCAAUGGGCGAAAGCCUGACGCAGCGACGCCGUGUGCGGGAAGAAGGCCU
rnacentral:rRNA from 1 species